rnacentral:rRNA from 1 species
AGAGUUAAAAGUACGUGAAAUUGCUAAAAGGGAAACAUUUGACACCAGUAUUUGGGAGUCGGAAAUCAGCCUCGGUAUACUGGGGUGCACUUUCCGGCUACCAGGUCAACAUCAGUUUCGUCUGCCGUAAAAAAGCCAAGAGAAGGUAGGUGUUAAUUCACUGUUAUAGCUCUGGCCGAUGCGGUGGAUGGGACUGAGGACUGCGGUGCAUGCCUCUGGCUGGUUGGGCCUGGUUAUGCUGUGGGUCUCUCUCGGGAGGCCUUCUAGAUGGCCGGGUCAGUAGCUGGUCUUGGGUGGGGGAAUCUCACAAACCCGGGGACGGGGAUGUUGGCACAAAUGGUUUCAAUCGACC